GUAGGGUGCAAGCGUUAAUCGGAAUUACUGGGCGUAAAGCGUGCGCAGGCGGUUAUGCAAGACAGAUGUGAAAUCCCCGGGCUCAACCUGGGAACUGCAUUUGUGACUGCAUGGCUAGAGUACGGCAGAGGGGGAUGGAAUUCCGCGUGUAGCAGUGAAAUGCGUAGAUAUGCGGAGGAACACCGAUGGCGAAGGCAAUCCCCUGGGCCUGUACUGACGCUCAUGCACGAAAGCGUGGGGAGCAAACAGGAUUAGAUACCCUGGUAGUCCACGCCCUAAACGAUGUCAACUGGUUGUUGGGAGGGUUUCUUCUCAGUAACGUAGCUAACGCGUGAAGUUGACCGCCUGGGGAGUACGGCCGCAAGGUUG
rnacentral:rRNA from 1 species